rnacentral:rRNA from 1 species
AUUGAACGCUGGCGGAAUGCUUUACACAUGCAAGUCGAGCGGCAGCACGGGGGCAACCCUGGUGGCGAGCGGCGAACGGGUGAGUAAUACAUCGGAACAUGCCCAGUCGUGGGGGAUAACACUUCGAAAGAGGUGCUAAUACCGCAUACGUCCUGAGGGAGAAAGCGGGGGAUCUUCGGACCUCGCGCGAUUGGAGUGGCCGAUGUCAGAUUAGCUAGUUGGUGGGGUAAAGGCCUACCAAGGCAACGAUCUGUAGCUGGUCUGAGAGGAUGAUCAGCCUCACUGGGACUGAGACACGGCCCAGACUCCUACGGGAGGCAGCAGUGGGGAAUUUUGGACAAUGGGGGCAACCCUGAUCCAGCCAUUCCGCGUGAGUGAAGAAGGCCUUCGGGUUGUAAAGCUCUUUCGGCAGGAACGAAACGGCGAGCUCUAACAUAGCUUGCUAAUGACGGUACCUGAAGAAGAAGCACCGGCUAACUACGUGCCAGCAGCCGCAGUAAAAC